UACCAGCACCCCGAGUGGUCGGGACGAUUAUUGGGCCUAAAGCAUCCGUAGCCGGUUUUACAAGUCCUCCGUUAAAUCCAGCUGCUUAACAGAUGGGCUGCGGAGGAUACUAUAAGACUAGGAGGCAGGAGAGGCAAGCGGUACUCAGUGGGUAGGGGUAAUAUCCGUUGAUAUCAUGGGGAACACCAAAAGCGAAGGCAAUUCACUGGCGCAUUCCUGACACUGAAACACGAAAGCGUGGGUAGCGAAUGGG
rnacentral:rRNA from 1 species